rnacentral:rRNA from 1 species
UUAAGUUAUUAAGGGCGCACGGUGGAUGCCUUGGCACUAGAAGCCGAUGAAGGACGUUACUAACGACGAUAUGCUUUGGGGAGCUGUAAGUAAGCUUUGAUCCAGAGAUUUCCGAAUGGGGAAACCCAACAUGAGUUAUGUCAUGUUAUCGAUAUGUGAAUACAUAGCAUAUCAGAAGGCACACCCGGAGAACUGAAACAUCUUAGUACCCGGAGGAAGAGAAAGAAAAUUCGAUUCCCUUAGUAGCGGCGAGCGAAACGGGAAGAGCCCAAACCAACAAGCUUGCUUGUUGGGGUUGUAGGACACUCUAUACGGAGUUACAAAGGACGACAUUAGACGAAUCAUCUGGAAAGAUGAAUCAAAGAAGGUAAUAAUCCUGUAGUCGAAAAUGUUGUCUCUCUUGAGUGGAUCCUGAGUACGACGGAGCACGUGAAAUUCCGUCGGAAUCUGGGAGGACCAUCUCCUAAGGCUAAAUACUCUCUAGUGACCGAUAGUGAACCAGUACCGUGAGGGAAAGGUGAAAAGCACCCCGGAAGGGGAGUGAAAUAGAACCUGAAACCGUGUGCUUACAAGUAGUCAGAGCCCGUUAAUGGGUGAUGGCGUGCCUUUUGUAGAAUGAACCGGCGAGUUACGAUUUGAUGCAAGGUUAAGCAGUAAAUGUGGAGCCGUAGCGAAAGCGAGUCUGAAUAGGGCGUUUAGUAUUUGGUCGUAGACCCGAAACCAGGUGAUCUACCCUUGGUCAGGUUGAAGUUCAGGUAACACUGAAUGGAGGACCGAACCGACUUACGUUGAAAAGUGAGCGGAUGAACUGAGGGUAGCGGAGAAAUUCCAAUCGAACCUGGAGAUAGCUGGUUCUCUCCGAAAUAGCUUUAGGGCUAGCCUCAAGUGAUGAUUAUUGGAGGUAGAGCACUGUUUGGACGAGGGGCCCCUCUCGGGUUACCGAAUUCAGACAAACUCCGAAUGCCAAUUAAUUUAACUUGGGAGUCAGAACAUGGGUGAUAAGGUCCGUGUUCGAAAGGGAAACAGCCCAGACCACCAGCUAAGGUCCCAAAAUAUAUGUUAAGUGGAAAAGGAUGUGGCGUUGCCCAGACAACUAGGAUGUUGGCUUAGAAGCAGCCAUCAUUUAAAGAGUGCGUAAUAGCUCACUAGUCGAGUGACACUGCGCCGAAAAUGUACCGGGGCUAAACAUAUUACCGAAGCUGUGGAUUGUCCUUUGGACAAUGGUAGGAGAGCGUUCUAAGGGCGUUGAAGCAUGAUCGYAAGGACAUGUGGAGCGCUUAGAAGUGAGAAUGCCGGUGUGAGUAGCGAAAGACGGGUGAGAAUCCCGUCYACCGAUUGACUAAGGUUUCCAGAGGAAGGCUCGUCCGCUCUGGGUUAGUCGGGUCCUAAGCUGAGGCCGACAGGCGUAGGCGAUGGAUAACAGGUUGAUAUUCCUGUACCACCUAUAAUCGUUUUAAUCGAUGGGGGGACGCAGUAGGAUAGGCGAAGCGUGCGAUUGGAUUGCACGUCUAAGCAGUAAGGCUGAGUAUUAGGYAAAUCCGGUACUCAUUAAGGCUGAGCUGUGAUGGGGAGAAGACAUUGUGUCUUCGAGUCGUUGAUUUCACACUGCCGAGAAAAGCCUCUAGAUAGAAAAUAGGUGCCCGUACCGCAAACCGACACAGGUAGUCAAGAUGAGAAUUCUAAGGUGAGCGAGCGAACUCUCGUUAAGGAACUCGGCAAAAUGACCCCGUAACUUCGGGAGAAGGGGUGCUCUUUAGGGUUAACGCCCAGAAGAGCCGCAGUGAAUAGGCCCAAGCGACUGUUUAUCAAAAACACAGGUCUCUGCUAAACCGUAAGGUGAUGUAUAGGGGCUGACGCCUGCCCGGUGCUGGAAGGUUAAGAGGAGUGGUUAGCUUCUGCGAAGCUACGAAUCGAAGCCCCAGUAAACGGCGGCCGUAACUAUAACGGUCCUAAGGUAGCGAAAUUCCUUGUCGGGUAAGUUCCGACCCGCACGAAAGGCGUAACGAUUUGGGCACUGUCUCAACGAGAGACUCGGUGAAAUCAUAGUACCUGUGAAGAUGCAGGUUACCCGCGACAGGACGGAAAGACCCCGUGGAGCUUUACUGUAGCCUGAUAUUGAAAUUCGGCACAGCUUGUACAGGAUAGGUAGGAGCCUUUGAAACGUGAGCGCUAGCUUACGUGGAGGCGCUGGUGGGAUACUACCCUAGCUGUGUUGGCUUUCUAACCCGCACCACUUAUCGUGGUGGGAGACAGUGUCAGGCGGGCAGUUUGACUGGGGCGGUCGCCUCCUAAAAGGUAACGGAGGCGCUCAAAGGUUCCCUCAGAAUGGUUGGAAAUCAUUCAUAGAGUGUAAAGGCAUAAGGGAGCUUGACUGCGAGACCUACAAGUCGAGCAGGGUCGAAAGACGGACUUAGUGAUCCGGUGGUUCCGCAUGGAAGGGCCAUCGCUCAACGGAUAAAAGCUACCCCGGGGAUAACAGGCUUAUCUCCCCCAAGAGUUCACAUCGACGGGGAGGUUUGGCACCUCGAUGUCGGCUCAUCGCAUCCUGGGGCUGUAGUCGGUCCCAAGGGUUGGGCUGUUCGCCCAUUAAAGCGGUACGCGAGCUGGGUUCAGAACGUCGUGAGACAGUUCGGUCCCUAUCCGUCGUGGGCGUAGGAAAUUUGAGAGGAGCUGUCCUUAGUACGAGAGGACCGGGAUGGACAUACCUCUGGUGUACCAGUUGUCGUGCCAACGGCAUAGCUGGGUAGCUAUGUGUGGACGGGAUAAGUGCUGAAAGCAUCUAAGCAUGAAGCCCCCCUCAAGAUGAGAUUUCCCAACUUCGGUUAUAAGAUCCCUCAAAGAUGAUGAGGUUAAUAGGUUCGAGGUGGAAGCAUGGUGACAUGUGGAGCUGACGAAUACUAAUCGAUCGAAGACUUAAUC